UAUUAAAUCUGUUUGGGUUCUUAGCAAAGGUUACUGCGGUCGUCUUAUAGAGGUUCCUAACUUUGACUAUUUGAUUUGGCUUAGCAUUGAACAACAUUUUCAUCAGAGAGGUUACUGUCGUCAUCUUAGAGAGCUGUGCGGGUCUGCAGCAUUGCAAAGCAUGGUUGCUGGUGGCGUUGCAGUUGUGCAGGUCUGCAGCAUUUGCAAAGCAUGGAUGCUAGUUGCUACUGCUGGUGGUGGCUGGAAGCUCUGCAACAUUGUAAACUUCAAAGCCACCUGGUGGCUAUGGCUUGACCCAAUCUAGCCUGCUAGCUUGGCCCAACAAUAAUAAUAGCAGGCAACAACCAAAAAUUACAAUAAGAAUUCAACACUUGAUUCCAAGCAAACAUAAAUAAUUUGUCAUCUUCACAAAUUGCCAGUAUACAUAUGAUCUUUUACUGUUUGCAUCUUCUUGUUGAUGAUGGUGUCAACAUUCUAAUUGGUCUGACUCUUUCCCUUCUUAGGUUUCUAGACCAUACAAGCCACCAGAAUUUGAAAUUAUGUUUGGAGAAAGAGUUAGCAAACUGGGUUGUGUAUUAAAAUUGUGUUGAACUGGUUUAGGUGGUGGCUAAUAAAGGUUCAUGAUAUAACUACAGAGAGAAUAGGUUGAGACUGGAACCAGAGAAAGCAUUGCAAUAUUUUGAGAGAAAAUCCUCUUCUCUGAAAAAAUUGAAAACAAUUGAUAUUAUUUCAAUAUGGACAUCUAUAUGGACAUCUGAGUCCUACUACUUCUGGGAUGGUUCCACAACCCAGCUAACAUAUGAUGAUAUUACUUCAAUAUUGAAAAAUGUGAUAGGAGGUGCGAAGAAAGAAAGAGUUUACGAGCUUGGAGUACAACCUUUGUCAUGUAACCCAUCGUCGUUGUUGUUUGGUGUCUACUUCUCAAACUUUAACAGAAAUGGAAGUAAUGCGAAUAGAGAUUUCAAAGCUAAUAGAACGACUUCAAAGAUCUAAAGCUAAUUAUGCUAAAGUGCAAAAGUUCAAGGAGAAACAUAUGGCUCGGAUGGUGAUGAAGAGACCGAAGCUGAUAAAGUUUAGAUUAUGUUCCGGUUUAUUAGACAUUUACUAUGACAUUUUAGACUUGUUUGAAACUAUUUACUUCCAUUUCGAACAAAAAUGUAUACUUAUUAGACUUGAUUUUGAUGGAGCUUGAACUUUCAGACUAAAGUGGAAUUUGAAUGUUUAGGAAUGUGUUAGAUA